CGGGGAGUAGUCCAGUGGUAGGAUGCGCGCAUGGGGUGCGUGCGGCGAGAGUCCGAUUCUCUCCUCCCCGA
rnacentral:tRNA from 1 species